ACACUCUGGUUUCUCUUCAGAUUAUAUAAAUCUGUUGCCUUUUACUAAGGAUUUCCAUGGAGGGGAACAACCUUGAGUUUUAAUUCAAUUUUUCAAAAAUGUAUUAGUGAUUU
rfam:Erinaceus europaeus unplaced genomic scaffold scaffold00140, whole genome shotgun sequence